ACAGGGAAUAUUCUACCUGACACCAUGACCCUUCUGAGUUCUCCAUUUUGGGGGUGUGGUCCAUUUAAAGGAGAAGUGAAGCUACGAAUUGCAGGAUGAUAUUAAUGACUGAAUACCUCAGUGUCACGAGGCAGCGGAUGCCAGAGCAGAUUUAUUUAAACAAUUAAGAACUGACCAAAGAGAAACAGGAAUCAUAAACAUAAAGCCAGGAUUCAUCUCCAUAACACACAGACUGAAGGCUGCGUGACAUCUUUUUUAUGGGGUCAUAACCAUAAACCAGAUGGCCGUAAAUACCAGUUGGUUACAAAGUUUACCUGCAACUCAGACCUGACUGGAAAAAACAAAACAAAACGAUGAACAUAUGAGAAAUGGGAGUGGCGUUCCCUGCUUUCCCGGCAUUCCCAGAGUUCCCCGGGUUCAGGCUUCAGGAGAAACCCAUACGUGUGGAAGAUACCGAGAAUUGAGACACAUGCAACAAAGACACCAUGGUAAUCAACCCUAGAAUGAUGUACACAGAUAAACACACACUUCAGCUGAAAGACGUCAGGUUCAUGCCAGGCAUUCGUGCAACUGUUCCUGAACACAGUCCUUCAACAAUACAGCGAGGAGAAAUACAAUCAGAUUCAUAUUCUUCUUUUAUUCACAUACAAAUAAUACAAAAAAUAAUAACUAAAUACAAAAGAGAGCAAAAUGAACAGUGAAAAGUUUCUAAUGACUGAACCAUGACACAAAAAGGACAAAGAAUUGAAAGGAUAAGAAUUAAAAAGUAAAAUCAGUAUGUGAUUAUAUAAUUAAAUAAAAAUGUAAUAAAAUAAUAGAAAUAAAACAGGAUAAUACAUAAAAAAAAAAUACACAGAAAUUUUGAAGGUUAAGAUUUAGAGAGUAAAAUCAUAUAUUUUUAUUUAAAGAAUAUAAAUAGAAUAAAAUAAUACAAAUAAAACAAUAAACAGUUUUUGUUGUCUGUUCUGUGCUAUAAAAUAGACAAAAAAUAUAAAGGGCGAAAAUUAAAAUAAAAAAAGCUGAAUAAGAAUUAAAUAUAAUUUACAAAAAACUGAAUUUACAAAUUCAGAAAUAGAAAUAUCAAUUUAUAAAAAGAAAACGUGUCAAUGUAAAUGAAUUGUGACUAUAAUCAUGUGAUAGUACUGCUGAUUUAAACCUCAGGCUUCGACAGAAAGUCAUACGAUCAGAGGAAAGAAAAAAAAAAAUCCCCACACGUCAGUAACGUGUGCGUUUUGAAAAUAAUAUCCAGGUCCUGAUCAUCAGAUUGUUCUGCUUAUUUCUUUUGAAACUGAUGAAUGACUUAAAAAAAGUCACUUUCAGGAGUCACAUGAUCUAAACAACAGCUGAAAGUGUCAUGUGAUCUCACUUCAUGUAUGAGGGUUUUUUUUUUUUUUUUUUUACAAGGAACAUCAUAAAAUCUGAGAAACGAUCUGAUAAUUUAAAGACUGAAAAAUGAUCAAUUAUUUAUAAUUGUUCUCAGUUGCUUUGCAGCGUUUCUCAGAUUAGAAAUGAAAUUUCUCAAAAUUAAUUGUUCAAACUCCACAUCAUUUAAUCACUUGUGCUCAUCAUAAAAACAUUUUCUCAGUCGCUUUGAUCAAAUUGCGAACGCUUUAGUACAUUAAUUUAAUGGAUUGUGUUUAAG